rnacentral:lncRNA from 1 species
UAUUUAUUUCGAUCAGAGUUUAUUCUUUGACUUUAAUUUAAAAUGCGUCUGUCUUUGCAAGAGUCGGUAAAUGUUAUCAAAAUUUUUUAUGAACGUUUUGAAAAUGCUACUAUAGCUGCAAGGCUGUAUGCUCAAGGUUUUCCUCAAAACCGGCGUCUGAGUAGAGGCAUAUUUUUUCAUUUGGCCCGUCGUUUUCGGACAACAGGUAGUGUAGUCCAUCCAACCUACCGUAGACAAGGUCGCAGGAGAACGAAGGAAAACAUAAUAAAUUGUUUGGCCUAUGUAGAAUUUGAUCUGCACUUAAGCAUCAGAACUAUUUCAGGCGAUUUAGGCAUACCUCGUUCUGUAGUUCACAGAAUUUUGCAGGAACACAGAUUUCAUCCAUUCCAUAUAGUACUCCACCAGGCAUUAAAUCUAGAAGACUAUGACAGAAGACUAGAUUAUUGUCAUUGGAUGGAGAAUAUGUUGCUCGAAAAUCCAAAUUUUCUCAACGAAAUUUUAUGGACAGACGAAGCAACGUUCAAUAGUGACGGAGGAGUUAACAGACAUAAUAUGCACUAUUGAUCUGAAACUAACCCUCGUUGGAUGCGCGAGAUCCAGCAUCAGGGAAGGUGGAGUGUUAAUGUCUGAUGUGGUGUAAUAGGAUCUCAGGUUAUAGGUCCAUUUUUAUUUGAUGAGAGCCUAACUGGAGAACGAUAUCUUCGAUUUUUAAGAAAUAAGCUCCCAGCAUUAUUAGAAGAGGUGCCUCUGGUUAUAAGAGCCAAAAUGUUUUUACAACAUGACGGAAGCCCGGCUCAUUUCGCGGUAAAAGUGCGAACGUUCCUUAAUUAGCGGUACCUUGAUCGUUGGAUUGGCAGAGGUAGCUUUUUCCCUUGGCCGGCAAGAUCGCCAGAUUUAACCUGCCUUGACUUUUAUUUAUGGGGUAGAAUAAAAGCCAUUGUAUUUUCUUCGAUUCCUACCAAUAGAGAAAAUAUGAAACAGCGAAUAGAGGGCGCUAUUCGGAGUUUACCAGCCGCAGAAAUAGAGGCAGCCGUGGAAUCAACCCGACGAAGAGUUCAAAAUUGUAUAGAACAAGACGGACGACAAUUCGAACACCUCGGCAGGCAUUAGAUUAGUUUUAAUCGGUACCAAGUGCCAAAACUAUCAAAAUAUUUUUGUCGUGUUACAAUGACGCGUCGACGUUGAUAAAUAUUUAAAACGUUCCUAUGCAUAGUUUUCAUAGUUUUCCCAUAAACAUUGAUUUAUUACCUGAUUUAUUACCAAUGAAACAUCCUGUAUAAAGAAGUGUAUAAAUAAACGCCACCUUCCGGAAUUUCUAAAAAGCUGGUAUACCAAGAUUGUUUCUCUACACAAAGAUUCAUUUAGACACCAGUUUUUUUAACUCGGCUGGUAAAUAGAACUUAACGACCAUAUUUGAUGUUUUCACUUUCUAAUGAACACAUUUUUUUUGUAACUUUAGUUAGAGACGUGAUAUCAUAAUGCGGUUUUUACUAAAUUAUUAAGCUUUGUUCUCCGCUCUUAAUACCGUAAAAAAGCACAGAUGGUUGCAUUUGAGUUUCUUAAAAUAAUCAGUCGA